rnacentral:rRNA from 1 species
AGCGAACGCUGGCGGCAGGCCUAACACAUGCAAGUCGAACGAACCUUUCGGGGUUAGUGGCGGACGGGUGAGUAACACGUGGGAACGUGCCUUUAGGUUCGGAAUAACUCAGGGAAACUUGUGCUAAUACCGAAUGUGCCCUUCGGGGGAAAGAUUUAUCGCCUUUAGAGCGGCCCGCGUCUGAUUAGCUAGUUGGUUGAGGUAAUGGCUCACCAAGGCGACGAUCAGUAGCUGGUCUGAGAGGAUGAUCAGCCACAUUGGGACUGAGACACGGCCCAAACUCAUACGGGAGGCAGCAGUGGGGAAUAAAGCGCAAUGGGCGAAAGACUGACAAAGCCAUGCCGCGGGAAUGAUGAAGGUGUUAGGAGUGGAAAAUUCUUUCACCGGGGACGAUAAUGACGGUACCCGGAGAAGAAGCCCCGGCUAACUUCGUG